rnacentral:rRNA from 1 species
UACGAAGGGGGCUAGCGUUGCUCGGAAUCACUGGGCGUAAAGGGUGCGUAGGCGGGUCUUUAAGUCAGGGGUGAAAUCCUGGAGCUCAACUCCAGAACUGCCUUUGAUACUGAAGAUCUUGAGUUCGGGAGAGGUGAGUGGAAACUGCGAGUGUAGAGGUGAAAUUCGUAGAUAUUCGCAAGAACACCAGUGGCGAAGGCGGCUCACUGGCCCGAUACUGACGCUGAGGCACGAAAGCGUGGGGAGCAAACAGGG